rnacentral:lncRNA from 1 species
CAAGUAGUCAAACUACUGGGCAUAUCAGCACAACUGAACACACUUCUUAUAUUUGAAUAAUCCUCCACCUCCUGUGUAUUUCUUACACAGGGCUAUGAUGAAGACCCCCGGCAAUCACAUACACCAGAUCAAGGAUUUGGAUCAGGAGCAAAGAAACGUGUGCCACCUAGAGUCCACUCUGGGAAGAACAGCAGCAAGUAAAGCCAGUUUCCACAGGGAGGUGCCAGAUCCCAGCACCACCAAUGAGGCUGAGCCCAGCACAACCAGCAGGGCCCUUUCUCCCAGAACAGUUUUUAGUUGUGAUUCUGGGUACUGGACUGGGGAACUGCCAGCCUGCUGUCUGAUCUCCUGUGAAGUUCCAUAAUCUUUAACAGAUUCUUUUUCUGUCCAUCAAUCGCAAUAGAUUAUAACCAAACUCUGACAAAGAAAGGUAGGAUAUUUAAUUUCAGUGUACUUCAUAGAUCAUGCCUCAUGUCUUAGAGAAAGGAGCUAAAAGCCAGAAUGGUAAGAAUUAUUUUAAGAAAUAAUUCUGUGAGACUUGGGAUUUGAACAGUAAUACUUUGGUCCCGAGGCAACAAAGUUCUACAUCAAGAAGGAAAACCAGCACUUGUCCAUUUUUCCCUGGAACAUAGCAGAGUCCUGACUCCAUGAAAGCUCUGGCAAAAUGGUCUCUAAACAGCUUUUAGAAACAUUGUAAGCUGAUUAGUGAAAUUUUAAAAGCAAAAGGAGAACAGAGAGGUGAGGAUGGGAUCGAGCAAGAACCCUGCUCCCUACUGCCUGUAAGUCCAGGCUCCAGAGCAACACAUGAUCCAGCUCCUGUCGUCUGCUCAAUCUUUCCUUAAAAUAAAGCAAUUUACUAGACCCAAAAUACCACAAAAGAAUUAAAGCAAAAUAUUCCUGACACCCUAGCCAGGCACUGGCCACAAAGAAGCAAACAUAGUUUCUCAUGAGCUCCUUGCUCAUCCUGGCCUUCCAUAAUUUGUGUCCUUGUCUUAAAGGUCUUUCUACUGUUUCUUCUGGAUAACUGCUGCUUUCCAAAGCUGAGGUCUCAGACAUCCCUCCUUCACUCCUCCCCUACAUCUGACUGUCUUUGGUGCUCCUUUUCUGCCCUUCUGGUUACCCUGCUGCUAACUCCCAUUGCCAUGCUGAGGACACUGCCCUGUAGCUGUCAGUAACUUGGAUUCUCCCUUACUUAGUAGAUCUUUGAAGAGAGGUAUCUUAGCCUUUAUAUUUCCUAAUGCUUAACCUAGAGCUUGACAUACUUUGGUUCUCAAUACAUUUUUAUUCUAAUUGCCCCUCAGUGUCCUCAGGAAUUGGUUCCAGGAUCUCUUGCAGAUACCAAAAUCUUAGGAUUAUCAAGUCCUUAAAUAAAAUGGCAUAGUUUCAAAUAACCUAUGCAAUCCCCCUGUGUACUUUGAAUCAUCUCUGGAUCACUUGUAAUAACUAAUACAGAUGAGCUGAGCACUAUCUACGCAGUCACUAUACUAUGUUAUUUAGGGAAUAAUGGC